rnacentral:lncRNA from 1 species
AUAAAAUAACUCUUAAUUGGUCGAAUUGAUAUAGCAGAUCUAAUUUAGUUAUAAAAAUUAAUUCUUACAAAAUUAUAACAAAUAGACCUACCUUGUAGCUCAGGUGGUCAUUAGACCAAAAUUCCUUACUAGAAAUUCUUAGUCAGAUCUGCCACAUGGCACACGUAAAUACACUCAAGUGGUCAUUGGACCAAAAUUCUAUAUUACAUGUUCUUAGUCAAAUCUGCCACAUGGCACACAUAAGCACCACAUAAGCAAGUCAAUGUAUAUGUGGUGCCUCGGUUCAAAGUUCAAAUUUUUUAAUAAAAAAAAAUUCAAUUUGCGUUGACCAAGAGAAAAGAGCUCAAUACCCUUUUGCCUUGCAUUUUACCCAUUUUAAAUAUGAUAACAAACCAUUACCAAAAAAAAUUGAGAUAAAUAUGGUUUUGAAACCCUAGAUAUCAGAUCUAUUCUAUGAGACUUUUAUAUGAUAGAUCUAUUUUACAGACAACUAGAUUCAAAGUUUAAACAAGAUGAAGAAUAUGACUCGUUAGAUUAGAAAAUUAGGGUUUUUUCGUUCCCUUUUUUGUUUAAAAAAAUAGAUGGGAAUAAAUCAACACCAAACAACAUAAAGAUGUUUAGAAAAUAGAUUUUGAGAGCUAAAGCUAACCAUAAUCGUUUGAAACAUUCAAGAGACUAAAAUCUACAAAAUAAAUAGUUUCUCAAACAAACAAAAAUAAAAAAAUGAACAACUAAUCGGUAGAAAUAUGAAUUAGAGGGUGUAGAAUCGAUUGGUCGGUAUAGAUUUUUCAAAAUCGAACUACAGAUCAAGGAUUUUUACAGAGAAUAACUUAGGGUUUGAGAGAAUUUGGAGAGAGAGAUUGAUAGAUCGACAGAAGAGAG